rnacentral:rRNA from 1 species
CAAGGAAUUUUCCGCAAUGGGGGCAACCCUGACGGAGCAACGCCGCGUGCGGGAUGACGCUUUUCGGAGUGUAAACCGCUUUUCUUGGGGAGGAUGGAGGACAGUACCCGAGGAAGAAGGCCCGGCUAACUACGUGCCAGCAGCCGCGGUAAUACGUAGGGGCCGAGCGUUGUCCGGAGUUAUUGGGCGUAAAGCGCGCGCAGGCGGCUUCGCGCGCCCGACGUGAAAGCCCCCGGCUUAACCGGGGAGAGUCGUUGGGGACGGCGGAGCUUGAGGGCGGGAGAGGUCGGUGGAAUUCCCGGUGUAGUGGUGAAAUGCGUAGAGAUCGGGAGGAACACCUGUGGCGAAGGCGGCCGACUGGGCCGACCCUGACGCUGAGGCGCGAAGGCGUGGGGAGCGAACGG